rnacentral:tRNA from 1 species
GGUCCCAUGGUCAAGUGGUUAAGACGGCAGCUUGUCACGUUGCAAUCAGGGGUUCAAUUCCCCUUGGGACCGC